UACGUAGGGGGCAAGCGUUGUCCGGAUUUAUUGGGCGUAAAGAGCGUGUAGGCGGCUAGGGAGGUCCGUUGUGAAAACUCGAGGCUCAACCUCGAGACGCCGAUGGAAACCAUCUGGCUAGAGUCCGGAAGAGGAGAGUGGAAUUCCUGGUGUAGCGGUGAAAUGCGCAGAUAUCAGGAAGAACACCCGUGGCGAAGGCGGGUCUCUGGGCAGUAACUGACGCUGAGAAGCGAAAGCGUGGGGAGCGAACAGG
rnacentral:rRNA from 1 species